GAUGAACGCUAGCGGGAGGCUUAACACAUGCAAGUCGAGGGGCAGCACGAGGUAGCAAUACCUUGGUGGCGACCGGCAGACGGGUGAGUAACGCGUAUGUAACCUACCCUGUACUGGGGGAUAACCCGGAGAAAUUCGGACUAAUACCCCAUGGAAAUAUAGAGAGGCAUCUUGAAAUAUUUAAAGUUUCGACGGUACGGGAUGGGCAUGCGUAACAUUAGCUAGUUGGUAAGGUAACGGCUUACCAAGGCAUUGAUGUUUAGGGGUCCUGCGAGGGUGAUCCCCCACACGGGGACUGAGACACGGACCAGACUCCUACGGGAGGCAGCAGUGAGGAAUAUUGGUCAAUAGCCGAAAGCCUGAACCAGCCAUCCCGCGUGCAGGAAGACGGCCCUAUGGGUUGUAAACUGCUUUUCCAGGAGGAGAAACUCUCGUACGUGAUACGGGAUUGACGGUACCCUGGGAAUAAGCAUCGGCUAACUCCGUGCCAGCCGCGGCGGUAAGAC
rnacentral:rRNA from 1 species